UCGCGAGCGAGCGCGGGAAGCGAAGGAAAAGGAGAAGGAGGAGGAUAGACAGAACGAGCUACACUAAACAGGUGGUCCGAGUCCGAAAGAGAGAGGGAGCGAGAGAGCAGGGGAACCACACAGCAAACAAUCAUGUCGUUUGGCGGCGGGGGAGGCAGAAAAACGCUUUAAAAGCCACGGAACGAAGUGAUCCAAGACACCCCACUUUGAUUCCCAUCGCCCCAUGCAGCUCGUGGACUUAUUCCGACACUUCUCGCCGGGCUCGGGAGCUUCGAGCGGGCGCGGAAAGACACCAUGAAAGUGACUGUGUGCUUCGGACGUACGCGCGUGGUCGUGCCGUGCGGGGAUGGUAACAUUCACGUGCACGCGCUCGUCCAACAAGCCGUCAUGAGGUACAAAAAGGCCAUCGCCAAGGAUGCCAGCUACUGGCUGCAGGUGCAUCGCCUGGAGCACGGUGACGGCGGCAUCUUGGACCUGGAUGAUGUGUUGUGCGAUGUCGCGGAUGACAAAGACCGGUUGAUCGCCAUUUAUGAUGAGCAGGAGCCCCACCAUGGUGGCGACGGCACCAGCGCCAGUUCUACGGGCACCCAGAGCCCGGACCUGUUUGCUACAGUUGACCUUGGUACGAACAGCGGGACCUCUGCCUUCCAGCCCUACCAGGCUGCUAGCGAGAUCGAAGUCACGCCGUCUGCCCUGCGCACCAACAUGCCCCUGCACGUUCGCCGCAGCAGCGACCCCGCCUUGCUGCGUCUAAACGGCCCAUUCAGCGGUGCCGAUUCACGGGUCCAAGCAGAAGAACCGCCGUCACGGAAGAACCCGAGCCGAUGGUCCACCACUGCCGGCUUCCUAAAAGCCCGCCACAACUCGGGCACCAGUAGCCUGGAAAGAAAGAAUAAAGGCUUGGACACGUACCGCAGCUUGCCACGGGAUGCUGGAACGUGGGCCAAUCAGCGGGAGUUUCAGAGAGAGACUGCACGUUCGUCCCUCAGUGCUCAUCACCCAAUGGUGGACCGAUGGCUGGAGAGGCAGGAACAGGAGGACGAAGCGAGAGAGCAAGAAAAUGGCCGCAUCGAACCGGUUGGCCGAGCAGACUCGUGCUUGGACCAAACAGCCAGAUCUCUCGAAGACAUAAUCAAAGUGGUGGAGGUGACAAAUGAUGGCGGCCCCCUGGGAAUCCACGUGGUGCCUUUCAGUGGCAGGGAUCGCAGGACUCUUGGCUUGUUGGUCAAGCGUCUGGAGCGAGGCGGCAAGGCCCAGCAGCAGGCCCUUUUCCAGGAGAACGACUGUAUCGUCAGAAUCAAUAACGGGGACCUGCGCAGCAUCCGCUUUGAACAAGCCCAGAACAUGUUCCGCCAGGCCAUGCGUUCUCCCGUCAUCAUGUUCCACGUGGUGCCAUCUUCGUUGAAAUCCCACUACGAGCAUCUGUCCCAGGCUGAGCGAAACCCGGCGUAUUCAUCGGGCCGCUUCAGCAGCGACCCAGUGUCUGGGGCCGCGGAUCUCGCGUCUCAAAGGAUGUCCCGUCACGGCUCUCAGAAGCACUCGCAUGCUCAAACGCAGCCUGAUCAGACGGACGGCUUCCCGCCCGUUGCUCACCCACCUGCCAUCUCGGCCGCCAAACCUCCCACCGGGCAGAUCCACUCGCCACAGAGGGCGCUGACAUCCACUCCAACACAAGGAUACAAGAAGGUCGGGAGGAGGCUCAACAUUCAGCUCAAGAAGGGGCCAGAAGGCUUGGGCUUCAGCAUCACGUCGCGUGACGUUCCCAUCGGGGGCUCAGCGCCCAUCUACGUUAAAAACAUCUUGCCUCGGGGUGCUGCCAUUCAAGAUGGACGCCUCAAGGCUGGGGACAGAUUACUUGAGGUGAAUGGCGUCGAUUUGAAUGGUCGCAGCCAGGAGGAGGUAGUGUCCAUCCUCAGAGCCACGCCAAUGGGGGGUACCGUGGGCCUGCUGGUUCUCCGCCAGGAAGACAACUUCCUCCCUCGAGAAGUGGGUGGCGAGAUUCAGAUGCAAAGCCCCAGAGAUUUGAAGCCAGAGGAGGAUGAGCUAGUGCUUACACCGGAUGGAACUCGCGAGUUUCUGACUUUCGAGAUUCCGCUCAGUGACUCAGGCUCAGCUGGCCUGGGCGUCAGCGUCAAGGGGAACCGGUCCAAAGAGAACCACGCCGACCUCGGCAUCUUCGUUAAAUCCAUCAUCAACGGAGGGGCCGCGUGCAAGGAUGGGCGCCUGCACGUGAACGACCAGCUGAUCGCCGUUAACAGCGAGUCACUGCUGGGCAAAACCAACCAGGACGCCAUGGAGACGCUGCGCAAGUCAAUGUCUACUGAAGGAAACAAGCGUGGCAUGAUCCAACUUAUCGUGGCCAGACGCCAUAGCAAGAGGAGCCAGGAGGCACCAGGGGGUCCACUAGGACCUCAGCAGAGCUCAACGUCUUUGUCUCUGGAUGAGCACGAGCGUCGUAUCUCCCACUCCUUGUAUGGUGCACUGGAGGAUCUGGAUGAUAACCUGAUGCCUCGACAUGGCGUGAUGCCUCGCACAGUUGGCAACUACCAGCUUUCCCCGACCGUCAACAUGCCGCAGGAUGACACGGUAAUCAUUGAGGAUGACGGGCCACCGGUCCUCCCUCCUCACAUGUCUGACCAGUCGUCAUCCAGCUCCCACGACGACGUAGGAGGAAGCAGUGGCUUCAACGCCAACGUAACGCCGUCCUGGGCUCAAGAGAUGCCUUCUCCCAAGGACAGUUCACAGACACCGGAAGAAAUCAAUGCCGCUGACGCUGCCUUCCAGCGGGAAGGUUUUGGCCGACAGAGCAUGUCAGAGAAGCGCACCAAGCAGUUUGGAGAUGCCUCACAGCUGGAGAUCAUCAAGACGCGCAAGUCCAAGAGCAUGGACCUAGUAGCCGACGAGAUUAACCUCAGCCUGCGGCCCGACGCCGGCACAGGUUCGUCCACAAAGGAUGUGGGUCCAUCCUUGGGGCUGAAGAAGUCGAGCUCUCUUGAGAGUCUCCAGACAGCGGUUGCCGAGGUGACGCUCAACGGCGACCUUCCUUUCCACCGGCCUCGUCCUCGCAUCAUCCGAGGCCGCGGCUGCAACGAAAGCUUCCGUGCCGCCAUCGACAAGUCAUACGACCGGCCACCUGCCGCCGAGGACGAUGAUGAGGGCAUGGAGACGUUGGAGGAGGACACCGAAGAGAGUUCUCGCUCGGGUCGAGAUUCUGUGUCCACUGUGGCCGAGCUGACACCGCUGUCGCCGGGUGGAGAAAAGACGACGAUGGUCAACGGCAAUGCAAGAGCCAAAGAUGACAAGAAAAAGGACAAAGGUGGCAAGGACAAGAAGAAGCCAGAUGUGCAGAAAGACAAAGAAAAAGAGAAGGAUAAGGGAAAAGCAAAAAAGGGAAUGCUCAAAGGGCUCGGAGACAUGUUCAGGUUCGGGAAGCACCGAAAGGAUGACAGGAUUGACCGCAAAGGUUCUAGCAAAUGGCGGCCAGAGGAGAUGCAAGUUUCUGACGAGGAGACGCUCAAGAUGAGGAUGGAGCAAGAAAGGAUCCAGGCCAAAACCCGAGAACUGCGUGAGCGUCAGGCGCGGGAGCGAGAUUACGCUGAGAUCCUGGACUUGAGCCGCUCGGGGGAGAGGUCUUCGGAGGAUGAGCACCUGUACGCCGGCAUCAGCCCGCUCAACAACGGCGGGCACAGCAGCCCCCGCAGUGACCUUGACCACUACCCCCGCUUACAGCACCAUCACGUACACCAGCACUCGGAUUCCCACUACACACAAGUCAGCAAGGCGCAACCGGAGAGACCCCCUUCUACUGACAGCAACCGUGUUGCCCCGAGCAACCACGACCGGAUACAGCGUCUAAGGCAGGAGUUCCAGCAGGCUCAGAACCUUCCGGACGAUGGCAGCGACACGGACGAGCGAAGACGCGCGUUGAGCUUCGAGCAGCCCUGGUCCAACGGCCCCGGCACAUCGACGGCAGUUGGGCAGCAACCAGGUCGUCACUCGGUGUCUGUGGAGGUCCAGAUGCAGCGUCAGAGGCAGGAAGAUUCCUUUGCUCAAGCUCAGCGGCAAUACAGCUCUCUGCCUCGGCAACCCCGUAAGAAUCCCGUCUCAAUCAAUCACGACCCUUGGGAGAAGUCGUACCAGAGUGGCGAGGUUUUCCGGACGGCCAAGGAUAAUCCUCGCUAUUCCAGCUACCAGGGUUCCCGCAACGGCCUCCCCGGCGUGACAGGCGUCAACGCCAGAGUCCUGCUGGAGGCGCAGGAGCUCCUCCGGCAAGAGCAGAGGCGGCGAGAGAUGGAGGCCAAGGACCGGGCCUCGCCACUAGCAUCGCCGCUGGCGUCACCCAAGGGCCCGUAUCGCCACGACGUGCCGCCGUCGCCCUCGCAGCUGGCCAGACUCAAUCGCGUCGGCUCGGAGAAAGGUCGACUCUUUUAUUCCUGAGGGUCGGCGUCCGAUCAACUCCUCUGCGGCGCCGGUGCCUUGUUUUAAUUUUCUUCCUGUAAGACGAGAAAACAAUACUGCCUUCCUGCAAAGAUAGCGCUUCUUCGCUAAGAUUGUCCUUAUUUGGUCAACUUCCUGCUUCCAAAAAUAAGACUUGUCUCCCUAAAGAGAUGAAAAGGAGGACAAUGUGGGUUGUGAAUCAAAAUACAAGGCCUCCUCCCCCUUUAUGAAUAAAUAAUGAGGUGCUGUCUCUGUGGAGGAGCCUCAGCCAGGAAGUGUUGACACCUUGGAUUUGCUGCCCGAACCGCCUCCGCCUCUCCAGGCCGGACUCAUCAGCCCGCUUGGAGCUCCGGGCCAUCGUCACUGUUGUUCAUCAGCCUAUUUGUGUGCCUUCAUCCCCACCCCCUCUUCAAUUGUCACCCUCCUCCUUGCCCCCACCCUCUUGAUUCCUCUCACGAGCUGCUCUCUUAACACUGAAUUUUUCAUCAGCAGCCACCUGCUGCCCCCCACAUACAACACCCCCACCCCACAUGCCACAAGAAAGUAAAGCUGACGUAAAGACGACCAGCAAUGAGCUCAUUUUGACACAAUUGGGUCUUGAACUCAUUUUCAGAACAGCAAACCAACACUGCCAGACAUAUUUGAGCAUUUGGACGGAUUUUUCCGGUCUGAUUUCAGCCUCUCAGCAAUAAAUAUCCUCCGAUAUGUUUCGUCCUCUGUAAAGACUGGCUGAUUAUCUUUGCGUUCAAUCAAAACGAGAUGUUUACAAACAUCCACUUUUAUUUUGAAAAACAGCGUUUUUUGACACGAUACGGACCAAACCAUGAUAACUUUCAUUUUGCAACUUUAGGUAACUAGUAGCCCUUCACAUUGAUCAUUAGCCAACAUGGCUCACACAUGGUAAGUAAUCUUUCUGGCAUGAUGAUGGCAUCCCAGUUAGAAUUAUUUCCACAGCUGCUAAAAUCCCAGCAUUAUUUCAGUUGCCUUUUUAAGCUUCAUUGUUGUUCACGUUUUGAUUGAAAAGACUAUAAAGUUUGUUUGUGGUUGCUUCUGCAGUCAUCACAGGGACGGAAUGAGAUGUUGCUAAGUGCCUGUCGAUGAUGUCAUAUUUUACACGAAGAAGGAUACGACUUUUAUCGCUCAUUUUUGUAGUACUUCGUUCUCAGUAUUUGAUGAAAUCCCGGUACUCCUUCUUUCGUUUUGUUUGGAACACUUAGCGCCACGGCGGACAUUUUGUAUCCUGUUACACUUUUUAUAUGUUUAUUUUUAAAAGUAGGACGGUAAGUGGAAGCUGAUGUGCAAUUGUUCAUUUUUGGUUGUCAUGUUAUCAUAAGAAGCUUGUUGUGUACAAAAUGUAGAAUAAAAACAUCUUCCUUGCUAACAUUGGUGUCGACAUCUUGUUGAUCAAGACCUGACAUUUACAUACAGGGGUUGGACAAAAUAAUGGAAACGUGAAACUUUUUGGCAUCAUAAUCAUUAAGAAUAAUUGUUAAAGAAUGGCAUGAGGAACAUU